CGUGCGCUGCUUACCUGCAAGUCGAACGGAGAUUCAGCAAUGGAUCUUAGUGGCGAACGGGUGAGUAACGCGUAGGCAAUCUGCCUUCUAGAUGGGGACAACAUCCCGAAAGGGGUGCUAAUACCGAAUGUUGUACCGUUUCCGCAUGGAGAUGAUACUAAAGGUGGCCUCUGAAUAUGCUACCGCUAGAAGAUGAGCCUGCGUCUGAUUAGCUAGUUGGAGGGGUAACGGCCCACCAAGGCUUCGAUCAGUAGCCGGUCUGAGAGGAUGAACGGCCACACUGGGACUGAGACACGGCCCAGACUCCUACGGGAGGCAGCAGUGGGGAAUCUUCCGCAAUGGACGAAAGUCUGACGGAGCAACGCCGCGUGAGUGAAGAAGGUUUUCGGAUCGUAAAGCUCUUUCGUUAGGGACGAACGUGCUCUUUGUGAAUAAUGAGGAGUAAUGACGGUACCUAAAUAAGAAGCCACGGCUAACUACGUGCCAGCAGCCGCGGUAAUACGUAGGUGGCAAGCGUUGUCCGGAAUUAUUGGGCGUAAAGCGCGCGCAGGCGGGAUAUCAAGUCUGUCUUAAAAGUGCGAGGCUCAACCUCGUGAGGGGACGGAAACUGGUAUUCUUGAGUGUCGGAGAGGAAAGUGGAAUUCCAAGUGUAGCGGUGAAAUGCGUAGAGAUUUGGAAGAACACCAGUGGCGAAGGCGACUUUCUGGACGAUGUCUGACGCUGAGGCGCGAAAGCUAGGGGAGCGAACGGGAUUAGAUACCCCGGUAGUCCUAGCCGUAAACGAUGGGUACUAGGUGUAGGGGGUAUCGACCCCUCCUGU
rnacentral:rRNA from 1 species